GACGAACGCUGGCGGCGUGCUUAAUACAUGCAAGUCGAACGGAAAGGCCCUGCUUUUGUGGGGUGCUCGAGUGGCGAACGGGUGAGUAACACGUGAGUAACCUGCCCUUGACUUUGGGAUAACUUCAGGAAACUGGGGCUAAUAUCGGAUAGGAGCUCCUGCUGCAUGGUGGGGGUUGGAAAGUUUCGGCGGUUGGGGAUGGACUCGCGGCUUAUCAGCUUGUUGGUGGGGUAGUGGCUUACCAAGGCUUUGACGGGUAGCCGGCCUGAGAGGGUGACCGGCGACAUUGGGCCUGAGCUACGGCCCAGACUCCUACGGGAGGCAGCAGUGGAGAAUAUUGCACAGUAGGCGGAAGCCUGAUGCAGCAACGCCGCGUGCGGGAUGACGGCCUUCGGGUUGUAAACCGCUUUCGCCUGUGACGAAGCGUGAGUGACGGUAAUGGGUAAAGAAGCACCGGCUAACUACGUG
rnacentral:rRNA from 1 species